GCAUGGGGGGAACCCUGAACGCAGCGACGCCGCGUGCGGGACGGAGGCCUUCGGGUCGUAAACCGCUUUCAGCAGGGNAAGAGUCAAGACUGUACCUGCAGAAGAAGCCCCGGCUAACUACGUGCCAGCAGCCGCGGUAAUACGUAGGGGGCGAGCGUUAUCCGGAUUCAUUGGGCGUAAAGCGCGCGUAGGCGGCCCGGCAGGCCGGGGGUCGAAGCGGGGGGCUCAACCCCCCGAAGCCCCCGGAACCUCCGCGGCUUGGGUCCGGUAGGGGAGGGUGGAACACCCGGUGUAGCGGUGGAAUGCGCAGAUAUCGGGUGGAACACCGGUGGCGAAGGCGGCCCUCUGGGCCGAGACCGACGCUGAGGCGCGAAAGCUGGGGGAGCGAACAGGAUUAGAUACCCUGGUAGUCCAAGGGCGAAUUC
rnacentral:rRNA from 1 species